GCUCCCGUGGUCCAACGGCUUAAGACACUUGACUUUCUAUCAAGAGAUACGAGUUCGAUUCUCGUCGGGAGUG
rnacentral:tRNA from 1 species